rnacentral:rRNA from 1 species
UGUUACUGUUAAAUGCCUUAAAGGCACUUAAUAGAUCCUGUCUGAUAUUGGAAGCUAAGCAAGGUUAGUCCAGGUUAGUACUUAGUUAGGAGACUGCCAAUGAAUACUAGGCACUGUAGGCU